UCCUGAGCCUUCUGCAUCUCGACCCUUCUCCUCCUCGCUCGCUCGGUCUCCGUCUCCCUCUUGAUAUGGGCAGCGACGACAGCGCCCUUGCGGCACGCGCCCCCACGGUGGCCGUCCCCCGACUGCCACGGAGCGGCGCGACCGGACGCCACUGCUUGCCGUAGGCUCGGCUCCUCCCGGAGUGCCUCCUUCCGCCGGUGGGCGUGCGCUCGAUGAAACCCUACCUGCAUCUUCCUCGCCGCCACCGGCGGUGGCUCGGCUGCAUCUGGCGGUGCAUUCAAUCAGAUAGCAAGCAAAAAGUGAAAAAGAGUGGACAGGACCUACACAUUCUAAUAUGGGUCACACUGUGUACUACUAUGUCAUAAACUUUCUUCUUUUUCACUGAUCCGAUCUCAUGUUGCCAACUCCCAUCAAUUUUGGCAGAAAAAUGCAUGUGUACUCCUUAUUUUGAUUUCAUCUCUACAUUCUUACCUGUAUAGCUCUGUCUGUAUUAUCUUUAUUGAUGGAUAGUGGUGGCACCGUAAUAAAAAGAUUGUAUUCAAAGAUCUUAUUGCUCAAUCCCUUAGCUAUAUAUUUUACUUAGUUCUUUCCGCCAUCUUUGCUUGGAUGAUUGGCAAGGCGCUGAGGCUCGACGAAAUCAUAAGCUAGGUGCAGUCCCUGCAACGACAGGCCGAGUUCUCUUCAUGAAGUUUGAAGACCCCACUCGACUUCAGCAACCUGCCUACCCUCCUAUAAAAAGAUAUGUUCCAAGCCUAUGGCUCUUUGACAAGCUCGGUCUUCUCAUUGGAAAGCUCCAACUCAGGAUUUUGAUUCAGCGACCAAGGAGAUGUGUUCCAGUCGUCCGUUCCAAACGUCUUCGACAACCAACCUACCAAUAGGUAGUAUGCUUUUUAGGAUGGAACAGCUGGCACAAACUUGCAGCAAAGAAGCUACUACAAGGAGGCUCUCCAGAGCAUUGUACACAUCAACUCAAAGAGCAGAGCCACGACAAUAGGUUCUCAAUUUGAGCACAGAGCUUUCAUGAUAUGUCAGUUAGAAGGCCACAUGAAAAUGGAGUUCCGAUGGUCAGCAUAGACCAACCACGGAAUGCAUGGAUUCAGACUGAUUCAACAACAUGGUCGGACCUUCCACAGACACAGCUUUUGGGAUCACAGACAAGGAUAAUUGGGCGAUCACUACCGACCUUGAAAUGAACAUGUAUAAUUACUCUCGAUAUCACUAUGUACAUAAACCAAGACCUUACCCCCGAUGUAUAGAACCAUGAAGCAGUGAACACUACUACACCUCCUAUUAUUCAUCACCCGAUGUAUAAUUAGAACAGUGCUAAACCUGUGAACCCUAUCCGUAUAAUGUUGUGAUAACUUAUGUAAUAUUACAAUCACCAUCUACCAUACUUAGUAUCUUUCAACCGACAGUUCUCUCAA